rnacentral:rRNA from 1 species
GAUGAACGCUGGCGGCGUGCCUAAUACAUGCAAGUCGAGCGAACAGACGAGGAGCUUGCUCCUCUGACGUUAGCGGCGGACGGGUGAGUAACACGUGGAUAACCUACCUAUAAGACUGGGAUAACUUCGGGAAACCGGAGCUAAUACCGGAUAAUAUAUUGAACCGCAUGGUUCAAUAGUGAAAGACGGUUUUGCUGUCACUUAUAGAUGGAUCCGCGCCGCAUUAGCUAGUUGGUAAGGUAACGGCUUACCAAGGCAACGAUGCGUAGCCGACCUGAGAGGGUGGUCGGCCACACUGGAACUGAGACACGGUCCAGACUCCUACGGGAGGCAGCAGUAGGGAAUCUUCCGCAAUGGGCGAAAGCUUGGCGGAGCAACGCCGCGUGAGUGAUGAAGGUCUUCGGAUCGUAAAACUCUGUUAUUAGGGAAGAACAAAUGUGUAAGUAACUAUGCACGUCUUGACGGUACCUAAUCAGAAAGCCACGGCUAACUACGUG